rnacentral:lncRNA from 1 species
AAAAACAAGUUGGAUGAAAAUGAAAAGAUAAAUAAACAAUUGGUUGAAAGAGGGGGGGGGGGGGAGGGGGGGAAGAGAGAGAGAGGGGCUAACAAUAAAUGAUGAGGAAGAAAUUGCAAAGAGAGCAUUAAUGGGGGACGACAAGGCCAUUAAAUAGAUUGCUGAGUAGCGAGAAGGUUACUUAAUUGCUUGCGUUUAUCGCUGCAAUCGUCUUUUUUUUUCCUGCCCUCUCUUUCAUUGCUUUCUUAUCUCUGCAACCCACCUCCCCAUAUCACAUUUAAUGCUCUCUCUCACUCCCUCAGUCUGUGCAGUAAAUUAAAUGAAAACGUAGAGGAUUUAAUUUUAUAUAAAAUUAGAAGAGGGGGGAGGGGGGAAACUGUCACCCUUUUACAAAAUUUUCAUUUCACAUUUUCACCGCAUGUCCAUCAUAUAUCGGGCAAAACAUAUUUUAGUGGACACAGUUACUGAAGUGAUAAAACUAGCUAGAAAUGCCAAUUAAGGAGAAUUUGAUGAUGAUAAUAGAUUAUCUAAUGAUCAUUGUCCUUUUUUGCCUUUUACUUCAUAACUGUAGCUUCUUGUUGAACUCAGGAUUCAGUUGUUGAGUUGAUGAUGGGUUGUUGAGUAACUUUGAGCCGCUGGCUGCUGAGACCUCUGCCGCUUCUUUCGUUGAUGGUGGAUUUGUUGAUGAUGAUGAGGACGAUGGGGUUGUUAUUGGUGGUGAUGGUGGUGCUGCAC